rnacentral:lncRNA from 1 species
UGAAGGCAGAGAAGGAAGGGAGGAGGGAAUGAUUCAAGGCCAAAAUGGCCACAUUUAGAAGAUACCUCAGAUGAUAACCAUUGUUAUGUGUGUGCAAUUUUAUUUAACAGUGAUGUGUAUGUGGUGGACAAGUUAUAUGAAAUAUCUAGUCUUUCUAGAUAUUUGGAAGUGCUUGAUGUAUUUAAAAGUGGUAGUAGAAUAACACUUUGUAAGUAGCUUUUAAAAACUGAUGGGAAAUGCUGUUUGGAAGUGGAAUUGUUGAACCACCUGGGAGGUGGGAGGGAAGAAAUUGCAAAUGGUGUUUUGCCAUUGCAAUUAUUAGAAAAUUUCAGCUUAAAAAAAAAUGGUCUGGUCUCAAGGAUAGUUGUUUGCAACUUAGCUCUUUUAUAAUAAUGUAAAAAAAGAUUUGUCUGUCUUUAUUUUCAAAAGCUGACUUUAUAUAGAUUCUAGCUUCUGACCUAAAUCAUUUCCUUGAUAUAAUAAACUUUUACAUGAAAUAAUACUUUCAUUCAGUCGAUUAAAAUAAUUUUCCUGCCAGCUAGUAGAGUGCAACAUGUGUAAAAAUCUUACAGUUAAAUGGGAUCAAAUCAGACAGUAUAGAUUUCCUAGACCAUAAAAUCUAUAAAAAUCAGAAGCAAUGGAUUUAACUCCCAAAUUGUUCAUUUAAAGAUCUAAUUAUUUGUGUUUGACAUUAAAAUAAAUCUUAAACAUAAGAAAGCA